CCUCUGCGGAGCGGGCGCCGCGGGCCGGGAGCGCGGGCUGCGAGGGGCCGCGGGCGCCGUCGCAGGGGCACGAGCCCGAAGAGUCCGAGGAGGAGGCCGGGGACGUGGAGUCCGGGUGGCCGGCCCAGCCCCAGCCCUGGGGCAAGAUCCAGUGGUCGUGGCCCAGGAGGCCGUGCAGAGGAGGGGACUGGGCCAUGGCCGGGGCGGCUGCGGGCUCUGGGAGCCUGGGCCGGCCACCUCCAGGCCUGAGCUUUUAUCCGGACCAAAGUUUCACAGCAAUAAUACUACAAAAUGCCCACCACCUGGGAAGGCUGCUGAUACUAAGUGGAACCAUCUGUGGAACCAUUCAGUGUGGGCCUGGCAGAUUUUACUUAUUUAUCAGAGAGUGUGAGAGCACAAGCAGGGGAACGGCAGGCAGAGGGAGAAGCAGACUCCCCGCUGAGCAAGGAGUCCUCCGAUGCCGGACUCGAUCCCAGGACUCUGGGAUCAUGACCUGAGCCAAAGGCAGACGCUUAACCCAUUGAGCCACCCAGGCGUCCCGAUACUGAGUUUUCUGACCCACCCCUUUUCACUGUUUUAACUGUUCUGUGAUAUUAUAGCACGUGUACCCCAGUCAGGCCCUUA